ensembl:lincRNA Halr1 Hoxa adjacent long noncoding RNA 1
GGGAGACCGUGGGCGGAGGUGAUACAACCUGACUGAUGAUGGCUGACAAAAGAAGAAGAAAGUAGCUGAGAACCAGCAGCUGAAGAAAGCAAGAAAAUAUGAGUGAAGUCACAAAUGUCACCAAGGAAAGGAAGAACAGAAAAAUAACUUGAAUAUUCAAGAUGGGCAGCCUAGUUCAACGACACAUCAAGCCUUGUGAAAAGGUGACUCCGAGAUUCAGAUGCUGCCCAAGCCAACCCGAGUUUACCAGGUUCCAGGAAUGACCUUGAAUUCCAGAUCCUUCUGCCCCCAUCAUCUGAGUGCUGGGUUACGGUUGGGUGGCUAUACCUGCCUCUCACCUGGGUCUUUGAAACAAAAGAGGGAAGAAAGAAAGAAGGAAAGAAAGAAAGAA